AGAAGAGCUUUAUUGCAAAGCAAAAAGUACACACUCAAGAAAGGGGAGCUCGGGCAUACCUGAGAGAGAAUAAUGGGUUCUGGGGUUUCAUCUUGAUGGGUUUCUUUAACCAAGAAUUGGAAUAUUCACGAAAAUUCCUGGGUAAAGGUGGAGAUUUCUUGGAACUGUGGUGCCAUUUUUACAUCAAACACUGGUCUCAGAACUGUCAUGGCACUGGCGGGUGUGUGAUUUAGUAUGUUAAUGAGCAUAUAAUGAGGGCCUAGGUAAAACCUCCAUCAAAUCCAGUACCACGUUGGGUCCACUCAGUCUUAGCCAGCUUGGUCCACACCCUGGUUUUUCAGCGUCUUAACAGCCCACAGCCUCAAGUCAUGUAAAUCUGCUGCCUAGAAUUUGUUAUCCUGUGACCACCCUGUAGUAUUCCUGUCUGAAAUCUACUUGUAAAUAUUCAAAUGGUCUUUGACUUGGGCAUUCCAACUUUGCUUACUUCACAGUGUUUCCUGCGUAAUAUAUAAGAAAAGAUGAUCCAGACAUUUGUUAAACAUCUCAAAUAAGAUGUAGCCCAGGUAUUUGUGUCAAAUUUGGAUUAUUUUGGUUUCGUCUUUGCAGAAUAUAAAAAACUAACAUGAGGUAAGCACUAAGGUGUGGAGAUGGCUGUGCAAGAGAUGACAAAGUCCAGCACCACACUUGAGAGUGUCCAAUCAUCUCUUCUGGGGCAGCAUAGUUUUCUACAAUACGGAUUUUUGAAAAAAAAAACAUCAAAAAAAAACCUACAAGAUUCAUGAAACUGGACAACUGUCUUUAUAACAUUACCAGUGAUAAAACAAGUAAGGAAGGCUGGUUUGCAGUCAUCUGAGCAGCCUCUUUACUUUCAUAAAUAUGGUUUCUCUCUGAUAUUAAACGGCUUCCAAUUGCAAGCGGAAUGCUGCAUCACAAGGAUAAGGAUGUGAAGAGAACCGGUUUCUUUUGUAAUCCGAAAUAUUCUAGUCUGCGAAUUAAAAGCCAUUAUUUGAAGAAGGAUGCCCCGGCUCCAUCUGGCCACCGAAAGGUUGCUCCUUAACACAGGCUAAGGACCAGCUUCUUUGGGAGAGAACAGACGCAGGGGCGGGAGGGAAAAAGGGAGAGGCAGACGUCACUUCCCCUUGGCGGCUCUGGCAGCAGAUUGGUCGGUUGAGUGGCAGAAAGGCAGACGGGGACUGGGCAAGGCACUGUCGGUGACAUCACGGACAGGGCGACUUCUAUGUAGAUGAGGCAGCGCAGAGGCUGCUGCUUCGCCACUUGCUGCUUCGUCACGAAGGAGUUCCCGUGCCCUGGGAGCGGGUUCAGGACCGCUGAUCGGAAAUUCUCCAGUACAAGAAGAGGUUCUCGGAGCUGGAGCAGCUGUUGGAGAGAUCCGGAGAGCUGGAGCAGCAGCAGCUGAGGGACACAGAGCACAGCCAAGACCUGGAGAGUGCCCUCAUCUGGCUGGAGGAGGAGCAGCAGGGAGGGCCAGGGCUGGCGGCAUGGCCCCCUGGGCGAGCGCCUACUGAUCCCCUGUGCCCCAUUCAGGAGUGCCAGCCUGGCCCAGGUGAAUGCCAUGCUCUGAGAACAGCUGGACCAGGCAGGUUUGGCCAACCAGGCUCUGAGUGAGGAGAUACGAAAGGUGACCAGUGACUGGACUCACAGCUGCAAGGAGCUGGAGCGGUGGGAAGCGGCAUGGAGGCGCGAGGAGGAGGGCUAGUAGAAGUCUAUAUGUUGUGGUGGAAAACAACCUCAGCCCUAUAGUCCAACAUUUGCCUAUCAAAACUUGUCCUGUGAUUUACAAAACUAGAACCUCACUGAUUCUCCAGUACAAGAAGAGGUUCUCGGAGCUGGAGCAGCUGUUGGAGAGAUCCGGAGAGCUGGAGCAGCAGCAGCUGAGGGACACAGAGCACAGCCAAGACCUGGAGAGUGCCCUCAUCUGGCUGGAGGAGGAGCAGCAGGGAGGGCCAGGGCUGGCAGCAUGGCCCCCUGGGCGAGCGCCUACUGAUCCCCUGUGCCCCAUUCAGGAGUGCCAGCCUGGCCCAGGUGAAUGCCAUGCUCUGAGAACAGCUGGACCAGGCAGGUUUGGCCAACCAGGCUCUGAGUGAGGAGAUACGAAAGGUGACCAGUGACUGGACUCACAGCUGCAAGGAGCUGGAGCGGUGGGAAGCGGCAUGGAGGCGCGAGGAGGAGGGCUAGUAGAAGUCUAUAUGUUGUGGUGGAAAACAACCUCAGCCCUAUAGUCCAACAUUUGCCUAACAAAACUUGUCCUGUGAUUUACAAAACUAGAACCUCACUGAUUCUCCAGUACAAGAAGAGGUUCUCGGAGCUGGAGCAGCUGUUGGAGAGAUCCGGAGAGCUGGAGCAGCAGCAGCUGAGGGACACAGAGCACAGCCAAGACCUGGAGAGUGCCCUCAUCUGGCUGGAGGAGGAGCAGCAGGGAGGGCCAGGGCUGGCAGCAUGGCCCCCUGGGCGAGCGCCUACUGAUCCCCUGUGCCCCAUUCAGGAGUGCCAGCCUGGCCCAGGUGAAUGCCAUGCUCUGAGAACAGCUGGACCAGGCAGGUUUGGCCAACCAGGCUCUGAGUGAGGAGAUACGAAAGGUGACCAGUGACUGGACUCACAGCUGCAAGGAGCUGGAGCGGUGGGAAGCGGCAUGGAGGCGCGAGGAGGAGGGCUAGUAGAAGUCUAUAUGUUGUGGUGGAAAACAACCUCAGCCCUAUAGUCCAACAUUUGCCUAACAAAACUUGUCCUGUGAUUUACAAAACUAGAACCUCACUGGUAAGUCACAUUCCUAGAGUCUCCCCCAUCCCUAACCCCAGUCACGGAAAAUAAAUCAAAUCAUUGUCACUCUUUCUUAACAAAGAGCGUACAUUUAAAACUUGAGUAAAAUUACAGGUACCGUCUGCGGCCUUCAAGGGGGAACUUGAAGUCUCAAUACCGCAGUUGUCCAAUCAGAGGAUCCAAGAUGAAUAUACUCAAGGACUUCAUGCUUGGCAUCCUCUGGAGACAGUACAUAACCACCAGCUUGGUUUAACCGGAGAUUCAUUUGGGUUAGGAGAAAUUAUGUAGGCAAUGUACUUAGUCAAUGGAGGCCUUAUGCCUGAAGACUUACAAGAAUCUGAAUUCGUAUGUUACUUUUCCUUUAAUGGAGUGGAAUUCCAAAUGAAAAUAAUCAAACAGCAUGUGCAUAAACAUUAGAUAUCAUACCCACAUUUACAAAGCCUUUAUAGAUAUGCAAGUGUUACUGCGUCUGUCCCUAGCUUCUGUACAGAAUUUAAUGGGUAGCUGUUACUAUUUUAUUGUUGUAUAAAAAUGAGGAAACUGAUAAGUUGUCUAAAGGUGCACAAUCAAAACACAUCAAAGCCAUUGUGAAAUACAGGUCCCCGGAUUUCAAAAACAGAUCUUCUGCUUAUAAAUUCAGUCUUUUUCAUACUGCCAUAAACUCCAGAAUGGGAAAACAAAGUUACUAUCAGAAAAGCUGCUUUCAGCUGGGCGUGGUGGCUCAUGCCUGUAAUCGCAGCACAUUGGGAGGCCAAGACAGGCGGAUCACUGGAGGUGGGGAGUUCGAGACCAGCCUGGCCAACAUGGUGAUCUCCACUAAAAAUACAAAAAUUAGCUGGGCAUGGUGGCGGACACCUGUAAUUCCAGCUACUUGGGAGGCUGAGGCAGUAGAAUCGCUUGAGCUGGGGAGGCCGAGAUGGCUUAGUGAUCCGAGAUGGCGCCACUGCACUCCAGCCUGGAUGACAGAGUGAGCCGACAUCGCGCCACUGCACUCCAGCCUGGGUGACAGAGUGAGACUCCAUCUCAAAAGAAAAAAGAAAGCUUAUUUUUUCCCCUAAUCAGCAUAAUAUUCACUAUGAAGUGAUGGAAAUAGAAAUAAUUUACUUAGCAAAUCCUUUCUAGUUCAAAUAAUUUGUAUAUAGGCUGUGCAAACAUAAUAAUGAGAGAUUCUUUUUAGUCAUCUUGCUUUAUAUCACUAAUUACACUCUUAUUUAAUGAUAUUUUAAAGAAAAACGUGUUUAUUUUCAAGUAGAAAAGUCAUAUAUGUCCACCAAGGAAAGCUGUAACAAAUGUAAAAUACAUAAAAAAGAUAACAGCUAAAUUUCUAAAGCAUUCAAAAAAAAGACAAAUAGAAGGGUGUCAGAUUAGGAAAGUAUGUCUUGUAAGGUGUGAUGGACAGACUGAUUAGCUUAGAGAUGUGGAUCUCAAAGUGGUUCUCAGAGCAACAGCAUCAGCGUCACCUGGGAACGUGUUAGAAAUGCAGAUUCUCAGGUACCAUCCCACAUUUAAUGAAUCAGAAGCUCAGAGUAGAGACCAGCAAUUUGUUUUAACAAGUCCUUCAGGGAUUCUGAUACAGCUGAUGUUUGAGAAACACUAGAUUUAGGUAAACGUAAGAGGGUCACGUUAGUAUUUUUAAAUCAUUGGAAGUUGGUUUGUUUUGUUUUUUCUUAAGUGGGACUCAUUUGUACUUCAAUACACAGAAUGGAUAUUUAGAGGAAGUCGUUUUUGACCUAACACAGAUGAGCACUUCCAAUUGAACAGCGCUUUCUGAUAAUGGGGCUGCCCCCUACAAGUGAAUAACUGGGUUUCUCUAGGCUGGAGCUGCAGACAGGUCACUAUGUGUAUGGAGGAUUGUAUUAAUAUGAUCGUGGCUCUUUAUAGCUCUGCAUUACUAAUAUUCUGUUUUAAAGUCUCUCCUCAAUAUCCAACGUCUCUGUGUUAAUGAUGGUAAGGAGUGGGUAACAGUAACAAUCAUCCUGUUGUUGACAACAGAUGAUAAGAGAAAGCCCAACUUUACACUCUGUAUAAUCUUACACCGAUGCCCCAUUCCUCGUCUAAUUUUUUUUUUACAUGUUAACACAUGACCUUGGCAUUACUAAAUAAGAAGCCCUCUCACUUAGAACCCGAUGCAGUAUGAUAAAAAUUAUUUUGAGAACAAUCAGGAGCUCUAGUUUUCAAUUCUGCUUCUCUUCUCAAGUAGUUCUGUGCCUUAGUUUCUUCUUUGUAAAUUUAAAUGGUUGGAACAGAGGAUCUGUUAAGUGUGAUUCAAGCUGAAAUUGUAUGUACCCCACACUGAGUUUCUCUGCUAUACCCCUAACCCAUUCAACAAUCACACCACCAGUUUUCAGGACUCACAGUAGGAUAGCCGUCUAUCAUUUGUUAAUAGGUGUGCUCUUUCAUCCAAACAAGAAACUCAUGAUUUCUGCAGUUUUUUAUUCUAGCCAGGUUCUAGGUGCUGGCCUGGAACUAUAAAACGAACAUUUCACAAAAAGUUAUGACAAUAUACAAAGGAAAGACAAUUUCUUUGAAUAUCCAUAAUCUCAAUAUGGAGUCUGGCUGUGGAUGGCCAAGAGAUAGUUUCCUUAACUGGAAAAAGUUUUUAAAUGAGGCUUGGUGGAGGAUAUAUCUUUGCAUCAUUACAAAGAAGAAAAAAGAGAAAUCUCACAACUGAAGAAAGUGAAAUCCACUUUACUUAAUGCGGACCUCUGUCUCUGGUGUGCAGGUCCUCUGUGUCCAAAGAUAAUUAGCACUUUAUAAUGCUAAUUAUUAUAAUUAUGUCUGAGAAAAAAAUCAUUAGGGGGUAGGCCCGUUCACUGAUUUUCAACUGCCCCCUCUAUUUAAAAAUAAGGUCAUUUUUCUAUGAAAUAGCUUUAGGAGCUCAAAGCAGAAAGAGGGUUAUAGAAAAUCCUGUGUAGGUAUAAGCCUGCGUUUUUAAUAUUCUUAUAAUUCUGUGAUGUGUCUGGAAACUGAACCGGGAGGAAAACAGUGAACCUAUUUAGUCCAGGAGACUAGAAAUCAGGACUCAGAAGAGUAAACAUUUCUGUAAUAGUUAGUCCUCAAAUAGUCAUUCAUUGACCUUCCACUGGGUGUCUGGCAAUGUGCAAGCUGUUUCUAGAUGCUACCUCAUGUAACAACCAUCACAGUUGCACAGAGCAAGUACUAGUACUCCACUUUCACCGAUAAAGAAGUAAAAUCUUAGAAAUUAGCUGCCCAAUGUCAUGUAUGUAGGAAAGGAAAGCUGGAUUCUGAUUCAUAUUUGCUGGCUCCAAAGCACUUGUUGUAAAUACUUCACUAUCCUGUGCUUACAUGUAAAUGUACCAUUUCUCUUAGGGGUCUUGAAAUACUGAACCAAAGAAUGGUGUAGGGGAAGGGCAGUUUAGAAAUACCUGGAAAUUUGGUUGUUUGAAGGAAGCCCACUCUCAGAUGGUAGGAGAUCAAGCUAACAGAAUAGCUGAGACCAGGCUAAGGACCAGCUUCUUUGGGAGAGAACAGACGCAGGGGCGGGAGGGAAAAAGGGAGAGGCAGACGUCACUUCCCCUUGGCGGCUCUGGCAGCAGAUUGGUCGGUUGAGUGGCAGAAAGGCAGACGGGGACUGGGCAAGGCACUGUCGGUGACAUCACGGACAGGGCGACUUCUAUGUAGAUGAGGCAGCGCAGAGGCUGCUGCUUCGCCACUUGCUGCUUCGUCACGAAGGAGUUCCCGUGCCCUGGGAGCGGGUUCAGGACCGCUGAUCGGAAGUGAGAAUCCCAGCUGUGUGUCAGGGCUGGAAAGGGCUCGGGAGUGCGCGGGGCAAGUGACCGUGUGUGUAAAGAGUGAGGCGUAUGAGGCUGUGUCGGGGCAGAGGCAGAGGAUCUCAUACUUACCUGGCAGGGGAGAUACCAUGAUCACGAAGGUGGUUUUCCCAGGGCGAGGCUUAUCCAUUGCACUCCGGAUGUGCUGACCCCUGCGAUUUCCCCAAAUGUGGGAAACUCGACUGCAUAAUUUGUGGUAGUGGGGGACUGCGUUCGCGCUUUCCCCUGA